GUAAGGUCGCUUGUUCUGCGUAUUUAUACCGUAUUCGCUCCGCACUCGGCUUCAGUGUCGUCUCGUCCUUUCGAGGGUCGUUUAAUCACCGGACUACCGCUUAACGCGCGUAAUUAAUGUAUCCGCGUGUCCCGCGAGCGUCUGCGAAUUCCCCGAAACAUUAAUUUGCACUCAGUUUUCCGCGAAGGCUUUCAGAAAUCCCGUCAAUCGAAAAGAUUCUAAAGACGAGGGUUCUUCGAUCGAGGGUUCCUUUCGAUCGGUUUCUUUUAAAAGCCACCGACGAGUUUUUGCGCGGAGGUAAAAGUAUCUCGUUACGAAAGGGAAAAACAGAAACGACCGGUGAUUUCUUGCGUACAUUCGCGUUACUGCCCUCAUCCUUUCAGCCCCGUUUCCUUUACCUUUCUCUCCGUCUCUCUCCGAGUCUUCUUUUUCCAUCCUUUUCGAGCGGCUGUCUCGCCGCACCUCGCCGCGUUCGAGCAAUAAAAACAAAGACGAGCUUCCUCGAGAAAGCUCGGAGGGAAAUACCUGAUGCUAGUCGGUCAAUAGCUUGCUUCGUACAAUCGCGGAAAAAAUAGAGGAAAAGGAAUUUCGGCGGACGAAUGAGAAGCCUGCUUUCGAGAUUAAACGAGGCUUCCACCGGGAAAGAGUCGAAUUAGCUACGUUUUGCAGAUUCGGAUAUUAUAGAGAUUGAAUCGGAAGUUCGUGUUUAAUGAAACGAUGAGGAAGAGUUUCUAAUAUUGUAUCGACUUCGUUCGACUAGAAAAUUCAUCUUUUAUAACUAUUCUAUUAUUAACCCUUUGCAAUACUGCAGUACGGCUCGACAUUUAUGUAGUUUCAUACAAUUCAGACAAGCCUAAUGGCAGACAUUUUAACUGCCCAUUGCCAUCGAACUCCCGAACUGGUUCAGGAGGGUGUACACCCUCGAUAACCGUCGAAAAUAUUUGCAGCCAUUUUUCGCCCCACCAAGGAGAGCCCUCUUGAGAAGGUUGGGAGAGCAGGGAUUAAAACAAUGGAAAAAGUACCGCCAUCUUUAAUUCCGUCGACAUUCGCCCCCGAGCUAAGACGAAAGAGAAAGAAUACGUGAUCGAUAAAUACUUCUCUGUUUGUUCAAAGGCGGAUUUCUUUGGUUCCACGCUGUGCUUCAGAUCGGGCGUUUCGAGGUGGGUCGAGCUUUUCCAAGGGGAUGAAAUAAAGCGAUUAGGAGGCAAUUAUCGAUAAAAGUGGAAGUCUUUUCCUGGGAAAAUCGAAGUCAUCUUCGGAGCACUUACCAUUCGACGAGAAGACAGCACUGCGAGAGGAACCUGCAUUACCAGCAUUAUCCACAGAGCUGCAUUCGAUGCAACGUUCAAACUGUAGCAUUCUGUAUAUAUUUUAUAAGAAAUUAUACUAUGUAAUUUAGUAUUAAGUUCAUGUAAAACAAGGAAUAUGAAUAAAGAAAAGGUAAAU